AGAAAUAACAAUACAAGGCAGUUAAAAUGCUUUGUAAUUGGAAUGAUAGAAAUUUAAACACUUUUUAAAGUAUCAAUUGGAGGGCAAGUCUGGUGCCAGCAGCCGCGGUAAUUCCAGCUCCAAUAGCGUAUAUUAAAAUUGUUGCAGUUAAAAAGCUCGUAGUUGAAUUUCUGUUAAAAAUAACCGGUCUGCUUUUAAUAAAAGUGGUAUCUUGGUGUGUUUUUAGCAAUAAUGUCCUUUGAAAUGUUUUUUACUUUAUUGUAAUAAAUAAUAUUCAGGAUUUUUACUUUGAGAAAAUUAGAGUGUUUCUAGCAGGCUAACGCUUUGAAUACUGCAGCAUGGAAUAAUAAAAUAGGAUUUUAGUUCUACAUUAUUGGUUUUAAGAACUAAAUUAAUGAUUGAUAGGGACAGUUGGGGGCAUUUGUAUUUAACUGUCAGAGGUGAAAUUCUUAGAUUUGUUAAAGACAAACUACUGCGAAAGCAUUUGCCAAAGAUGUUUUCAUUAAUCAAGAACGAAAGUUAGGGGAUCGAAGACGAUCAGAUACCGUCGUAGUCUUAACUAUAAACUAUGCCGACUAGAGAU
rnacentral:rRNA from 1 species